rnacentral:tRNA from 1 species
AGUAAUGUCAGCUAAUUAAGCUAUCGGGCCCAUACCCCGGGAAUGUCGGUUGAACCCCUACCAUCACUA